CUGGAGUAGAAAUAUAUGGCACCCAUAAUGAUACGCUUAAUUGCGCGUGACGCACGUUCAUGGAGCGAAACAUCACUGUAACUUUUUUAAAGCGCUUAUAGAAAGAACAGGUGCGUCUUAUACACCGGUGCGACUUAUAGACCGGAAAAUACGGUAAUGUUAUUGCACUUAUAUUAUCAUAAAUAAUACUAUAACAAAACCGCCAUCAAAAGGCACUGAGCAUCAAUGGUAAAGUUGCUCCACUAUAGCUCUCUUUAGCUUCACCUCGCGCGCAAGAGUGAAAGUGGGACAAGGCAGACCAACGGGCGAGCAGUGAAACGAACGAUAGGGUGAGGAAAGCAGCAUAAACACUGCCAGCCCCAAGCCAGCACCGAAGCGCGACACGGGCCUCUCGCUCCGUUCGCGGUUUGACGCGGUGAAGCCUCUUAUUUUUUCCGUGCAGUUCUGCAAAACGGAACCAUGUGUGCUUGCGCUGGCAUAUUGUUUCUGAAAUAGGAAGUUUGUCAGAUCGACGCCGAUUUACCACAGAAAGGAGGUUCCAAUGUCAAUAUCAGAGUGCAGUGCUCAUGAAAUUCAAGGAUUUUCAAGGAAGGAAAAAAAUUCCAGCACUUUCAAGGGCCUUGAAAACGCACUUUUCAAUUUCCAGGGUUUUCAAGGAUUUCAAGGACCUGUACGCACCCUGUGGAA